rnacentral:rRNA from 1 species
GGCGUGAGGGAAGGUGGGGGGCCGACGGUAGGUCAGUAUGCCCCGAAUAUCCUGGGCCACACGCGGGCUGCAAUGGUAGGGACAGAGGGCUGCAACAUCGAGAGAUGGAGCCAAUCCCUAAACCCUACCUCAGUUGGGAUCGAGGGCUGCAACCCGCCCUCGUGAACAUGGAAUGCCUAGUAACCGCGCGUCAUCAUCGCGCAGUGAAUACGUCCCUGCUCCUU